rnacentral:rRNA from 1 species
UACGAAGGGUGCAAGCGUUACUCGGAAUUACUGGGCGUAAAGCGUGCGUAGGUGGUUUGUUAAGUCUGAUGUGAAAGCCCUGGGCUCAACCUGGGAACGGCAUUGGAAACUGGCUUACUAGAGUGCGGUAGAGGGGUGUGGAAUUCCCGGUGUAGCAGUGAAAUGCGUAGAUAUCGGGAGGAACAUCUGUGGCGAAGGCGACACCCUGGACCAGCACUGACACUGAGGCACGAAAGCUAGGGGAGCAAACGGG